AGUGAACGCUGGCGGUAGGCCUAACACAUGCAAGUCGAACGGCAGCACAGUAAGAGCUUGCUCUUACGGGUGGCGAGUGGCGGACGGGUGAGGAAUACAUCGGAAUCUACUUUUUCGUGGGGGAUAACGUAGGGAAACUUACGCUAAUACAGCAUACGACCUACGGGUGAAAGCAGGGGAUCUUCGGACCUUGCGCGAUUGAAUGAGCCGAUGUCGGAUUAGCUAGUUGGCGGGGUAAAGGCCCAGCAAGGCGACGAUCCGUAGCUGGUCUGAGAGGAUGAUCAGCCACACUGGAACUGAGACACGGUCCAGACUCCUACGGGAGGCAGCAGUGGGGAAUAUUGGACAAUGGGCGCAAGCCUGAUCCAGCCAUACCGCGUGGGUGAAGAAGGCCUUCGGGUUGUAAAGCCCUUUUGUUGGGAAAGAAAAGCAGCAGGUUAAUACCCCGCUGUUCUGACGGUACCCAAAGAAUAAGCACCGGCUAACUUCGUG
rnacentral:rRNA from 1 species